rnacentral:lncRNA from 1 species
CUAUUCCUCCAAUGCCUCCCAAUGCUUCCUCUUGAUUCACCAAUCUGAUUCAAAACUAGAACAAACCAAACUCCCAUAAGAUAUUCAAGUAAUUUCAAAUAACACAAUAGGGGAUUAUCACGCUUCCUGGUUCCGGUGGCGGGAUUUGUCUUCGUUGUGCAUGAACACUUCCGGCGCACUUCCACCAUGGCUGAAACAAAAGCGAGAUGUCACUGCUCUCUGUUCCACUUUGUACAUCUAACAAACAACACCAACCCUACUUAAGUUUUCAUGGAUUCCCGACUGAAAUGAGUCCAAGGAAGAAGUGGAUUCAAGCGGUUCGCCGGGAUGAAGGGCCAAACUUUAAAAUAAAACAAGGUAGCAUGUUUGUUUGUAGCCGGCACUUUAGUGAAUCAGACUACAAACGCUACAGCUAGCAACCAACCGGGGUCACACCAAGUGACUGAAAAUCGGGUCUUUACCCUCCCGUUUCCAGUGGAACAACUGGGAACUGCCAAGAAGGGGGUCUGUUUAUAAAAGAGCAUCAACUCGCUUAGGCCAUGACGUUCACCCAUCCCUUCCUCUGGAGCAACCGCUGCCCUGUGAAUAAGAGCCGAUGGAGGAGAUCUCAGCUUCGGUGGUGAUGACAGAACAUGAUUUCGGUUCUGCUCCUAAACCAGAGCUGACUGAACGAAGUGGACUGCUGGAUUUACUGGAGCCAGGAGAUGGCUGCAUGGCAGACAAGGGUUUCACCAUCGAGAAGCCACUAGCUGAUCGUGGGGCAACGCUGAUUAUACCACCCUUCAAGAUGACAGGUAGGCAUGAAAGGAAUGAACAUUUCAAAUUAAAACUUUGACCCAAAUGUGACCAUUAAGAUAUGCAGACAAAUGUUUAAGAUGGACUGAAGCACUCACAAUAAUAUUACUAAUUAAUUUAUCUCUAACCACUGCGCAGUUCACUGAAGAGGAUGCUCUGAAAACACAAGCAAUCGCUCGACUUCGAAUCCUCGUAGAAAGAGCAAUAGGCAGAGUCAAGGAAUACCGCAUCUGGGAACGCACUGUCCUUUCACCUUGUCUGCGACAGUCAAUCAGCUGUGGACCGUCUGCUGUGUGAUGACCAACUUCCAGGGACCACUUGAUUUAAAAGGCUACAUCCCUGUUGAAUAGUGUUUCUACUCAAACAUGUACCUAUAAAUAUUAAAUAUAAUAUAUAAAUAUUAAAACGAGAGGCACUGAACAUUUGGAGUGGUCCCUUCAUUUUUUCCGGAGCUGUAAUUUUGUACACUGAAAACAUUGUAUAUAUUGAAUGACAUGUAAUGUAAUUGAAUGAGAAGUCUUUCAUCUAUAAUCAAUUUUAAAGUCCAGUCAGUCCA